CCCUUUGUAGCUCAGUUGGAAGAGCGUGGGACUGUAAUGGCUUCUUACGUAAUCCCAAGGCCACUAGUUCGACCCUGGUCGAAGGGA